GCCGAUUGAGCUGAAAGGACAUUGUCAGAAACCGCCUAAAAAACCGCCCAAAAACAUUAACCCAUCAUAAUUAUUUUCUAUUUUUUUUAAUACAUUAAGCACCCUUUCAUUCUAAUGGACACUUAAGCAUUGAAAAAUUAAAUAAAUAAGUCUUUUAACGUUUAUUCUAUAAUACUAUUACAACUUCCGGACGUUUUGGUGCGUGGCAUGGUCUAAAACCUAUCAAGUUCCAUAAUUUUUGCCGAUAAAAUCUGUACGAGGCAUUACCGUACUUUAUUGCUGGGAGUCCAUGUAUAGUGAUGUUCCUGCGGCCAUCAUAGACAAUAAAAUAUCGAUUUUGAAAAUAAAAUAAAUCGAUUAAACUGCUUUGAAGACUAGAUUUGCGUUAAAAGCUAAAAAGAUAUUGACAGUUUGACACUAUUACAAGAAGAUAUCUAAAGUGUCCAACUGGUCGAAGGUCGUAAAUAAAAUAAAAAUAAUUAGGACCAUAAACUGAUAUUCAUGGUAUCAUAACUGUAAAAGUGUCAGAAUCCGAUGUUGAAUCCAAUGCCAGUUGAAGUGUGAGAAACAUAUAUAUUUUUUUUUUAUGUGACAGGAGGCAAAUGAGCAGACGGAUCACCUGAUAUCAACCUAGUAUAGUUGCCAGUCUCUCAUAAUCUAUGCCAAUGAGGGUUUUCGCGAUUGAAAAAUCCGCCAGAUGGCAAUACGUAGACGUGAGGUCCAAAUGCUGCAUGAUUGGUUAUUUUUGACAUGACAUUGACAGAUAUCCACCAAUCAUGCAGCAUUUGGACCUCGCGUCUACGUAUUGCCAUCUCGCGGAUUUUUCAAUCGCGAAAACCCUCAUUCAUAGCACAUGUAUAAUAAUAGAGCAAAUGAACUUUUAUAGAUUGUGAAAGAGAAGAUAAAGAUUUUAUUAUUUUAUUAAAAUCUUGCCACGAGGUAGUUUUUCAGUAGAAACCAGGAUUGGAUAAUCGCUACAGGCAAGUAUCAGAACAUUUUAUAAAUAUUUUUAAUCGAUUAUAUCCAUGUGAAUCGUUUUAAUAAAUUGUCAUUUUACUUUUUCAAUUAAAACUUUUUCAAUCCCUAGUCUUGUCAAACUGUCAUAAUGUCAACAAAUUAUAAAUGUCACGUCAGUUGACUCAAUUUCAGUCUUCUAAAGAAAACCAAUGUGGUGCCCUUAUUAUUCAUGCUGUUUGAAAGUUACAAGUCAGUGAUACAGAGUUGCCGACAUUAUAACUCCGUAGUGAUACCAUACCAAAGAAGAAGUUUUCCUAAACACUUGUGUUGUUUUAUAUGUGAUCGAAUAAAAAGGAUUAAUUCUACUGCUCAAAUGGAAUAACUUAUCCCAAGAGACCGAAUAUAAAAAAAACCUUUCCAUAGAAAUUAUCACCAUCACGAGGAUGUGAAUUUUUUUGAGAAUUUGAUAUUGGUCCUGUAAGAAAAGUAGUUGUAUUUCAGUAGUAGAAUCAACCCUUCUUGUUUCAUCAGCAAGAGUAACUAUAAAAACGCCCUGUAGGUAGGUAUUAUUAAGCUGAAGAGAUUGUUUAGUGUCAAAGACUGUCACACAGUGUAACUUAAAUUGGCAUAUUAUGAUAAUGAACAUAAAAACUUAAAUAAAUAUUUAUGUUAAUA